rnacentral:rRNA from 1 species
UACGAGGGGGCAAGCGUUGUUCGGAAUUAUUGGGCGUAAAGGGCGCGUAGGCGGUGCGGUAAGUCACCUGUGAAAACUCUGGGCUCAACUCAGAGCCUGCAGGCGAAACUGCCGUGCUUGAGUGUGGGAGAGGGUGCGUGGAAUUCCCGGCGUAGCGGUGAAAUGCGUAGAUAUCGGGAGGAACACCUGUGGCGAAAGCGGCGCACUGGACCACAACUGACGCUGAGGCGCGAAAGCUAGGGGAGCAAACAGG